ensembl:lncRNA
AUAAAUACUUGCUGCAGUUUAUAUUAGGGUUAGGCCUAUUUUAUUCUGUGUCGGCAGUGAAAUUUUAAGUGUUAUAUGCCUAAACCUAUUGUACCUCCAAGCCUUAUUGUUAUGGCUUACACCUAGAUGUGCCCCCAAAGCCUUGUGUGAUCAUAGGUGGGCUUUGGGGAGUGACUGGCUCACGGCUGAGUGACCCCGGGGUCUUCCACGGACGGUUUAUAGCUGGCUGUGACGCCGGAGAGGAAGCCUGGUGGGAGCAGGCGGGUCAGUGCGGGCGUGGCCCGGAAGGAGGUCUAUGCCUCCCCGCCCUCGAUCCCUCUCUGCUUCCUGCCCUCCCACAGACUGUUUCUCCCCUGCGAUGCCUCUCUGCCAGGCUGCCCUGCCUUGAAGCCAGCUGCUGUGGCCUGAAACCUCUACGAACUGUACUGAAGCAAACCUUUCCUCCUUUAACUUCCGGGUGCCAAGUGUUGUGUCUUAGCAGUGAGAAAAGGAGGCCCAGAACUGCUGCACUGAGACAGACUUAAGGACUGAAUUCACUUGCUGCACACUAGCCUUGUUAUAUCUCCCUGACUUCGAGUAGUCUGUCUUCCAAACUGUGCUAAGUGAAUUUUAGUCACACACACUAAAGUUGUUGAAUUAAAUACUCAUUUCCUCAAAGAACAAAACAUUCAGCCACACCCUUGGGGACAGUGUCCCCAAGUCAUGCUCUGCUCUCCCCGAGUAUCCGUCAGAUAAGACCCACCCCACUCCUGGCUCCAGAACCCUACAGAGAAGAGCCCACUCAGGAUCUAAAAUCCAGAGAGAGGAUGGCUAAGGAAGACGCACCUCUGCUGCAUUAGAACAAAAGAAGCACUUCCAUUUGUGAGUGUGCAUGCACCGUCUCCCGCGGGGGCUCUGCGCUGCUGUCUCCACUCACAGGGCAGGGCCAGCUCCAGGCCUGGGCAGGCAGCAGCUCAAUGCAGCACUGCACCAGGCCCGGGCUCUGCUUCCUGGACACCAGCAGUCUCUCACUGUCUCUGAAGCUUAUGCUGGAGUUCUCCUAAUUGCAUUGAAAACUGAGAAACUGAGGCAGAAAGAGAUUAAGUAAUUUGUCAAAGUCACACAGAUAAAAUUAGGGGCUGGUUCUCAUGGUACUCACAGUCUAUUAAAUAGAGAGGUUUUUGUAUUUUAGCAGAAAAAUUUAAAAUUCCAUUAAAUGUACUAUUAGCCAAAAGCUAGCAAGCAUGUGGGUGAUUGAAAAUUAACUUGAUAUUCAAUUUUCAUUAGGGCACUUGGAGUUAUGUAUUCACCGCCCGUGUCUGUGCCGUUAGUGUUUCUGGUGUCUCAUUAUUUGUCUACAAAAGAAACAUAAUCAGUCUUCUUGUCCAAGUAAUUUUAAUGGACUUUUAGUGAACUAAGCUGGAAUUAUUUUAAAAUGCUCUUAGGAAUGCUAAUAUAACUCCUUUCUAAAAGAAAAAAAGCUGUGAAAUGCAUUAAUGACAAGAAUAAGUGGGUUAACUGACAACUUCGUUGGAACUGGUGUUAAGAAAGCUGAGUGACUUUGUAUUCAGUUUGCAAAAUCGUAGUUUGCCAAGAAUGAGUAAAAUAUAAAAUGUGUGAGAGACCACUUAAUCACUACAGAAAACUUUAAAUUAAGUGCAAUGCUUAGGAACAUACGAUUCAGAAGAUUGCUAAUCUUGUUAAGAAUAUUAUUUUACUAGGCUUAUGUGCAGCAUGAUUGCUACACGGAGCAUUCAGUCAUUGUUGAUGGAACGGGCACGUCCAGAAAGACCACAUCUGUCUUUGGACAUUAAAAUGCUAGUGCUACAUUAUUUAGAUGUUAUAUAAAUAUUAUUUAAAGAGAUCCUUCUUAAGAAACUGUAGUCAUCCAUCAGGAAGAUGUUGUUAGGAGAAUGUAGCUAUAGAAUACAGCUUCCUACAGUUGAAAUUGUCUGGCAUUCCCUCUGGAUUUUUAGUGUAAUGGCAAAGAACCGAAUCAACAAAUAUUAAAUAUCUGAAUAUCUACAGUGUGUGGACAACAAUGCCUGUGGCUUAGUUAACUCUUCCUCACAUUUUUAAAACUGGUUUUUGUUAUUUUCUGUGCUUUUCUGUUAGGAAUUCCCCCAACAUACAUACAUAAAAUACUCUACAUCUCAAUGUAUCACAUUUAUCAUAUCUUUAAUGCCCAUGGGAGGAAGCUUUCUAGCAAGACAGACGUGGCACUGUGUUAGUUUCCUUGGCUGCUGUAAUAAAUUACUGCUAAUGUGGUGGCUUCAAACAAGUCAUCGUCCCGGUGCUGGGGGCGAGAAGUCUGAGGUCGAAGUGCAGAGGGCCUCACUCCUGGUGCCUGCAGACAGAAACACUCCUGGCUCCCACGGCUUCCGGAAGACAUCAGCACCCUUAACUCCCAGCCUCUUGGGCCUGAGCCUCUGCCUGCACGUCCCCUUCUCUGUGUGUGUGUCUCCUCCGGGUUCCUCUUAUUGGGACUCUUGUCAUGGCAUGUAGCACUCAUCCCGUGUGCCAGUCAGCACCACGAGUCAGCGCGGCUGGGUGGAGAUGCCUGUAGAGGUGAGUGGGCCGUGGGGUGCUCUUCUCCUCCAUGGAUCACAGCACUGAGGCUCACAGCUGAGUGCUCUGUUAGGAGUGGGGCCCCAUUGGAGGCGGUCACUGAGGUGUGCCUUGGAGCCUUCUCUGGCUCUCUUGCCCUGUGCUCUGUUUCCCAGUCGCCGUGCACUAGCAGUUCUGCUCCUUCCCACCCUGCCACCAUGAGGUUCCUGCCUUGGAGCCCUGGACUCCACUCAUGGGCUGAGACCUCAAACAAAAAU